GGAAGGGGGGAGAGAUAGAGAUUCUUAGAGGUGAAAUGUUAAACUGACCCCCAGCGUCUGUCUCUUUCUUCAUCCAGCCUAGUUAGUUACCUGGCCUUUUCUGAGCUGCUACCAAGUCCAGACACUGUGACAGCUACUGGGGACACUUUUACGAAGAACAUUCUCUGUACAGAACCUGGUGGCACAGACUUGUAAUUCUAGUUCCUUGGGAAGCUGAGGCAGGAGGAUAGCAAAUUCAAGGUUAAUCUUGGCAACGUGAAGGGGAAGGCUGGGGACAUAGCUUUGUGGCACUUGCCUGGCAUACGUGAUGCCCUAGGUUCAAUCCUCUGUGCCGUGGGGAGGCUAGGGGAGGAGGACAUUUCUUCUGCUUCCUUGGGAACUUGCACCACGGUCUGGGUGGGCGGUUCUGUGUAGGUAUAAGAUCUGAUGGAUUACAAUGUAAGACUGCAGCUCUUAGGUCAGCUCUAGGAUUCUUUGCUUAGAGAACUAGGGUGGGAGAACGGUGUUGCUUGAGUUAAAUUGUCAUGGAUGGGGGGCUAUUUAAGUAAGGUCUGGAAGAAAAAGUAGUACCUUGCCUGCCAGUCAAAGGGAGAAAGUCUUUGUAGGGCAUGAACAAUGUGUGCACAGACUGUCUGGGAAUUAGUCACAUCAAAGUAGAACUUGGCCAACUCCAUUGUGAUUUAGUAUAAAGGGUGGUAAAAAAAAGACCCAUUAUCGAGCAACUAUGUGGGCCAUAUUCAUGCUUUAAUAUACUGUUUACUGCCACAGGAGGCUGUUUUAUUUCGUUCACAUUGCUGUUGAAGGAAAGGAUUCUGGAAGGUGACACAGUAAAAGAUUAUUGACGUCCUAGCACAUUGAAUCAGCAAUGACGCGCCCCCUUGUGGCAGGAAGAUGAGGAGCCAAAUCUAGACUCCAAGAGAGCUGGGUAUCUGCUCUUACUGACUUGGUUUUUGAUUCCAGCCUGGCUUUCACAUGGAUUAUGCUUCUGUGACCUCGAGCAAGCCAUUUAGCACACAAAAGCCAUCAUUUCCUCAUCAAAGAGAUGAAAAGGGUCAUCUUCAUCUCGAGGAGGGAUGCCCAUAAAAAAACACCAGAGAAUAUAACUAAAACAUCACAGGAAUAAGGCAUUGCGCUCGCUUCAUUUGUCAGGUCGCAGAGUCUGACAGGCCCAACGUCCCGCAGAAGCACCCUCGUCACUGCUUGCAACCUUCCUGGCAAUAGCCAGCUCUGUAAACGGAGCCGGAGACUGCACGUCCCCAGCUAUUUCCACACCUCAGGAGACACGGAAACUUCACAGGGGCUGGCGGUGGAUCCAUGGCUUCCUGUCUAGAGACGAAACACAUUGCACCGGGGCUGAAAUGCAGUGAGGGGAGCUGGGGUGAAAAGGGAGAAGUGGACAGCAGGGCACGAGCAGAUCACUGUGGGGUUUCUACAUCUUAGGACCCCAACCCAUUCUGACAUGGCGCUCUUCACAAUAAAGUACGCGCUAACAGCGUCCUGGCUGCACCAGAAGGGCUGCAGUGACGUAUUCGAUUUGGAAGCAAUCAGGCCAAGAAGGAAAAGCCUCAUGUUCUGCUUUGUGUGUCAGUUAGCUCCGCUCAGUUUCAGGGACUCCUUCAGGCCAGCUCCCACAAAGACACUGUAUUGGCUCAUGUAACAGGAAAGUCCAGAAAAAGUUCUGGGUAGGGGCCAGUGUAGCCAGGGCAUUGAUCUUGAAGACACUGGCUUUUACUUCUAGCCACCUUGUACUUCCUGGUGGCAUCAUAGUGACCAGGCUCUAGCCUCAUGGCUACCCAGUUUAGCAAUUCCUAGUCAAGGUUCCAAGUGAGGAUACACUCACUGGGUCAGCUCAGUCAUGUGCUCAUCUCUGAAACAAUCAUGUUAAGCGACUAAAAUUUGAAUUUGCCAGGCCCAUGUCACAUCUCAAUUCCUUCGCAGCAUAGGGUCAGUUCCUCCAAGUCAUAGGGACUGGAUGGAGGUGUUGUCUUUCUAAAUUGAGGCUGAAUGGAUAUGAAUGUCAGCAGGCCCUGCAAGUGUGUUUAUAGAUACUAAAAUAGAAAAAGACAUGAUUUUCAGCUUCUAGACAGACCCCUAGGGGAACAUGUUUCAAAGCAUAUUAUAAUUUAUUUUCAAAUUAUGCUCACCAAAUUCCUCGAAAUUCCACAAGAAAAACAGAUAGUAAGCCAAUAGGCUCCACGGUUUUUCACACUGGGAUAGAGUUGGGGAUGAAUAAUACCUCGUUGUGGUUUUGGACUCUUGUGACACUAAGAAAACAGUAAACAAGUCAGCAAGCUAUUCCAGAGCGGCGCCAGGAGGUGUCGACAAAGAGCUGAGAUGAGGUUCCCUAGAGCUUGCUUCCCUGGGGACACGCUGCAGAAGACGGUUCCUGGGCCUGCAGCAAUAAACGUUUACUUAGAGGCAACCAAACAUGCCGUGUCUGUGCUCCUCGUGUGGGCAGUGCCCCCGGAUGAGUCCUGGUGCUGUGUGAGGUGGGAG